rnacentral:rRNA from 1 species
UAGUCCACGCCGUAAACGAUGAGCACUAGGUGUCGGGGGUCGAACCUCGGUGCCGCAGUUAACACAUUAAGUGCUCCGCCUGGGGAGUACGGUCGCAAGAUUAAAACUCAAAGGAAUUGACGGGGGCCCGCACAAGUAGCGGAGCAUGUGGUUUAAUUCGAAGCAACGCGAAGAACCUUACCUGGGCUUGACAUCCCAAGAAUCCUGUGGAAACACGGGAGUGCCCUUCGGGGAACUUGGUGACAGGUGGUGCAUGGUUGUCGUCAGCUCGUGUCGUGAGAUGUUGGGUUAAGUCCCGCAACGAGCGCAACCCUUGUCGUUAGUUGCUACCAUUAAGUUGAGCACUCUAGCGAGACUGCCUGGGUAACCAGGAGGAAGGUGGGGAUGACGUCAAAUCAUCAUGCCCCUUAUGUCCAGGGCUACACACGUGCUACAAUGGCCGGUACAAUUAGAUGCAACCUCGUGAGAGUGAGCAAAACUGAAAAACCGGUCUCAGUUCGGAUUGUAGGCUGC